UGAUGUGAAGGUAAUCUGACUGUGAAAUCUGUUACCCCUUUGAUCACCAAGGUUGAUUUAGCUGAUCUGGCUGGCUAGGCAAUGUCCUCUUCCUCCCUCACAGCUCCAAGUAUAUCCCUCCCAAAACUGCAUGCUUGGUCAAAGAGGAUGACCUUCCCCAAAUAGAGGAGGACUGGUCUUAUAUCAAGGGUAUAUGAGUAGAAGUGCUCCUUUCUAGAACCUCCCCCAAUCUACAAGGCCCACUCCCUACCCCAAAUCCACCCAUCCCACUGCGACUUCAGCAGCUUCCUGAGACACAGAAUCUGCCAGCUCUGAUUGGACCAAAUAUAACAGUUUUAAUUU
rnacentral:snRNA from 1 species